rnacentral:rRNA from 1 species
GAUGAACGCUGGCGGCGUGCCUAAUACAUGCAAGUCGAGCGAACAGACGAGGAGCUUGCUCCUCUGACGUUAGUGGCGGACGGGUGAGUAACACGUGGAUAACCUACCUAUAAGACUGGGAUAACUUCGGGAAACCGGAGCUAAUACCGGAUAAUAUAUUGAACCGCAUGGUUCAAUAGUGAAAGACGGUUUUGCUGCCACUUAUAGAUGGAUCCGCGCCGCAUUAGCUAGUUGGUAAGGUAACGGCUUACCAAGGCAACGAUGCGUAGCCGACCUGAGAGGGUGAUCGGCCACACUGGAACUGAGACACGGUCCAGACUCCUACGGGAGGCAGCAGUAGGGAAUCUUCCGCAAUGGGCGAAAGCUUGACGGAGCAACGCCGCGUGAGUGAUGAAGGUCUUCGGAUCGUAAAACUCUGUUAUUAGGGAAGAACAAAUGUGUAAGUAACUAUGCACGUCUUGACGGUACCUAAUCAGAAAGCCACGGCUAACUACGUG